AAGCCUGUUUUGAGCAGGAAACCUUAAGCUCUGCAUAUACCUCCGUUUUAUUUUCAGUUGCGGCUCAGAUUUCGGGGAGUCGUUGCCUGUACU
rnacentral:ncRNA from 1 species